AUUUACCUUCCUUUCACCAGAGUGUAGCGCAGGCACGAGACGGAGUUCGCUCGGCACUGGUCGAGGAGACGCGCUGACUGGCCCUUGAGUCAAGCAAGGGCGGUUGAUCUCAAGGUUCGUUAAAAAUAGAGCGGCGGCGCGUUGCCAAAGCCGCGUUGCCCGCUUAUAGUUGCGCGUAUGUUAAAUCGCCGCAUCUGCAGCCCGCUCCUUCAUAACGCUUUACCCAAUUUAGGGCAGUGCGCGUCUCCGCCACCGCCAUGCAACAUGACGUCGCAGCACGUCAAAACAAUACAACUAACAACCGUAUACGAUAUGACUAAUAGUUACAAGUGAAUCGUAUAUUAUACCCAUCAACUAAACUUAUUAAAUUUAAUCGUCAUUAUGCUUGCUGAAUAAAUGUAAUCUCAAAAUAA